CUCCCAGGCCCACGCAGGGGCAGUGGCCCCGGAGGCUGGGCAGAGCCCGAACCCCGCAGAGAAAGUGACCAGUAGAAAGGGCGCAGGAUCAGUCCUGAGGACGAGAAGCGCUCUCUUUCCAGACUCCCUGAGAGGCAGGACGGAAAGGGGGGAUGCGGGCAGGGGGCUGCUGCGUAUUUCAGAACCCCGCUUACUGCGGCCUAGUCCCCAGGUUCCCCCUUGUCUCCGAUUGGUUUUAGUUGGGCUGUGUGGGCCUGGAGGGUGCUUUCUGAUCCAGCUUGUGCUCCAGAAAGGCCCUAGUGUCUCCUCCUCUUUCCCCCAGGCCAGGCGUCCUCCGGAACAAGCAUCCUGAGGAGGAAGACGACUUGUUACACAUCUUAAAGUCAAGGAUGCCAUCCCGGAGAUCACGUUACAUUUCAUUGUCAUGUGUCCUUAAGCUCCUCUUGGCUGUGACAGUUUCUCAGACUUCCCUUGUUUCUGAUGACCUUGAAGGUUUUAAGAGGCCUGCAGCAAAAGGUUCAGUUUCCUAAGGAGCUCGUAAAGAAGAAACUCGAAAUUACCCAUAGCUGUACCACCCAGAGACAGAGAGUGCGAGCAGGGGAGGAGCAGAGGGAGAGGAAGAGAGAGAGAGAGUCUCAAGUAGACGCCACGCCCAGCAUGGAUCCUGAUGGGGGGCUCGCUCUCACAACGCUGAGAUCAAGACCUGAGUCGAAACCAAGGGUCGGACGCUUAACUGACUAAACCACCAAGGCGCCCCUCAGUUUACAUUCUCUGAGCUGGAUUUUCCGUGCAGAUCAUGUCUGUCCCUCUCUACUAGUAGAGAGGGAACAUUUUCUCCAUAUACGCCUUAGGCUUUUUUUUUUUCCUUUUGCUAAUGUCAAUUUAAAGGAAUUUCAUUUUUAAGAGGCUCUGAAAGUUUUUAGUUACCGUGGUUUAUAUAGAUAGCAGGUAUGAGAAGCAUGUUUUAGCAUAAGAAGAAAGGAAAAUUCAGGCUUGAGUUUUUUCUAUAAAAUCAGGUUAGGGGUUGUGUAACGUUACUGAUUUUCAGUCAUAACUGCUAACUUGUAUUAAGUAACUUAAUAUUGUUGAGUUUUAUGUAGAUUAUCUUUCUAAAAAUUCGAUGCAGUCUUACCUGGCAGGUACUACUUCUACCCCAGUCUUAACCAUGGGGAACAGUGUGAGGUUAGUAAUGCUCAGAGCUCAGAUUUACAUCCUGAAAGUCAGACCACAGGGCCUUAUUCUUACUUUCACCAAGUGCUCUCCCCCCAGAUAAUGCAUACAUUAUUAAACCUACGUUCUUCACUUAGGAAUUCAUCCUAAAUUUCUUUCUCAGAGAAAUAGUAUAAAUAUCAUUAUUAGUAAAUAUAUUAGAUGCCAUUAUAGCAGACCAUAAUUUAUUUAAUCUGUCCUCUACUGUGAGAUACUCCUACCCUUUUUUUUCAUUUUUUAAAAUGAUUCUCUGGAAAAUCUGAAUAAAAUUGCUGGAUUACCUGAGUAUCA
rnacentral:lncRNA from 1 species